CACGGGGGGAGCAAGCGUUGUUCGGAUUCAUUGGGCGUAAAGGGUGCGUAGGCGGCGCGGUAAGUCGGGUGUGAAAUCUCGGGGCUUAACUCCGAAACUGCAUUCGAUACUGCCGUGCUUGAGGACUGGAGAGGAGACUGGAAUUUACGGUGUAGCGGUGAAAUGCGUAGAUAUCGUAAGGAAGACCAGUGGCGAAGGCGGGUCUCUGGACAGUUCCUGACGCUGAGGCACGAAGGCCAGGGGAGCAAACGGG
rnacentral:rRNA from 1 species